rnacentral:rRNA from 1 species
CUUAAGCAUAUCAAUAAGCGGAGGAAAAGAAACUAACAAGGAUUCCCCUAGUAACGGCGAGUGAAGAGGGAAGAGCCCAAGUUUGAAAGCUGGCGUUUGUAUUCAGGCGUCCGCAUUGUAAACUCGAGAAGUGUUAUCCGCGCCGGACCAGGUUCAAGUCCCUUGGAAUAGGGCAUCAUAGAGGGUGAAAGUCCCGUGCUUGAUCUGGAACCCCGGGGCUUUGUGAUGCGCUCUCAAAGAGUCGAGUUGUUUGGGAAUGCAGCUCAAAAUGGGUGGUAAAUGCCAUCUAAGGCUAAAUAUCGAGGAGAGACCGAUAGCGAACAAGUACCGUGAGGGAAAGAUGAAAAGAACUUUGGAAAGAGAGUUAAACAGUACGUGAAAUUGCCGGAAGGGAAGGGUAGGAAGUCAGACAUGCCUUUGCAGAUUCAGCCUUGUCUUUGGACUUGGUGCAUUUUUGUAAUGGCAGGCCAGCGUCGGUUUGUGUCGCCGGAUAUAGGUUUAGGGAAUGUGGCUUUAUCUUUGGGUAAAGUGUUAUAGCCCUUUACUGAGUACGGCGGUGUGGACCGAGGAACGCAGCGCACCCAUUAGGGCGGGCCUUCGGGCACCUUUGCGCUUAGGAUGCUGGCUUAAUGGCUUUCUGCCACCCGUCUUGAAACACGGACCAAGGAGUCUAACAUGCAUGCGAGUCUUUGGGUGGCAAACCCAUGGGCGAAAUGAAAGUGAAUUUUAAGGUGGGAUCCCUUGCGGGUGCACCAUCGGCCGACUUUGAACCUUUCAUGGGGACGAGUUUGAGCAAGAGCAUUUAUGUUGGGACCCGAAAGAUGGUGAACUAUGCCUGAAUAGGGCGAAGCCAGGGGAAACUCUGGUGGAGGCUCGUAGCGGUUCUGACGUGCAAAUCGAUCGUAAAAUUUGGGUAUAGGGGCGAAAGACUAAUCGAACCAUUAACAACUAGGUGGUUAAGAGGCAGUUCAAAGUACUGUCUAGUGGGGGUGGGGCCUGCAACACUAUCAAAUUGCGGGGACGUCCUUAAGCUUAAACUACCGCAGCUCGUCGAAAGGCAGAGUGCGCACCGGGGUAAUGACCUAGGGGAUGGUAAAAACGUUUAAGAUUGGAUAAUCCGCAGCCAAGCUCUAAGGGUUCUUUGAUGAACCUAUGAGUGCUGUUCAUCGACUAUAUGGUAGUGGGUUCCUUCUUUGAAGGGGCUUAAGAUAGAGUCAAUCCUCUCACGAAAGUGAGCCGGUGGAUGAAAGUUAGAGAUUCCCCAAUAUAAAUCUCUUUCCGGAGCCACUGGGAGCAGUAGUACAUUUGUAUUUGCUGCUUUGGGCUACAUGCUAGUAGCUGGUUCCUGCCGAAGUUUCCCUCAGGAUAGCAGAAACUUAAAUCAGAUUUACGUGGUAAAGCGAAUGAUUAGAGGCCUUGGGGAUGCAACAUCCUUAACCUAUUCUCAAACUUUAAAUGUGUAAGACGCUCUUGUUACUUAAUUGAACUUGGGCAUGCGAAUGAGAGUUUCUAGUGGGCCAUUUUUGGUAAGCAGAACUGGCGAUGCGGGAUGAACCGAACGUGGGGUUAAGGUGCCGGAAUACACGCUCAUCAGAUACCACAAAAGGUGUUGGUUGAUAUAGACAGCAGGACGGUGGCCAUGGAAGUCGGAAUCCGCUAAGGAGUGUGUAACAACUCACCUGCCGAAUCAACUAGCCCUGAAAAUGGAUGGCGCUUAAGCGUGUUACCUAUACCUCACCGUCGUGCGUUAAUUGCGAUGCGUCGACGAGUAGGCAGGCGUGGGGGUU